AUUGAACGCUGGCGGCAUGCCUUACACAUGCAAGUCGAACGGCAGCACGGGAGCAAUCCUGGUGGCGAGUGGCGAACGGGUGAGUAAUAUAUCGGAACGUGCCCAGUCGUGGGGAUAACGUAGCGAAAGCUACGCUAAUACCGCAUACGAUCUAUGGAUGAAAGCGGGGGAUCGCAAGACCUCGCGCGAUUGGAGCGGCCGAUAUCAGAUUAGGUAGUUGGUGAGGUAAAGGCUCACCAAGCCGACGAUCUGUAGCUGGUCUGAGAGGACGACCAGCCACACUGGGACUGAGACACGGCCCAGACUCCUACGGGAGGCAGCAGUGGGGAAUUUUGGACAAUGGGCGAAAGCCUGAUCCAGCAAUGCCGCGUGCAGGAAGAAGGCCU
rnacentral:rRNA from 1 species